GACAGCCCUGGCCCGUGGUGGGUCACACCCUGCCACGUGGGCCACCACAGAGACGUUCCCAUGGCGUGUGCAAGGCCUGGAUGAUACAAACCUGGACAAACAAGGCACUUAUCGGCCUUUUUAAUAGUGAAUUCUGGUUUUUUUCCAGCACCUCUUGCCCGAAAAACCAAGUUGCCAGAGCUGGGUGAUGAAGGCAGCAUCCAUGGGGAUGCUGGGGACAGGAGCUGUGACAUCUCCGUGGGCUGACACCAAAGUGCUGCGAAGUUUGUGAUCAGCACUCGCUGCACAUCUCUGCUGUCCUGGAGGAGGAGAUGCUUUUCCCACUGCCAUGGAAGAGGAGGCGCUUUCCCCCCUGCCCUUGCACCGUAAAACUCGUGUUUCCCAGGCGCUGCCACCACCUCGUGACCAGCUGAAAACUGCAGCCCUGCGCCCUCGACAUACGGAGCUGCUGGAAUCGCUCAUUUCUGAUGAGAGCCCGUCCUGCAUCCUGCCGUGUGCUGACCUUCACCAGCACCGGCCGGGCUGAGACCCCCGGAGCCCCGGCACGGCCGGACGCAGGCGAGGGAUGCAGUGGGAAGGUUUGUUGGUGCUGCUGGGGCUGGAGCAUCCCCUCCAUCCCUGCCCAAUCCCGCAGCCCCAUCUCUCCAGGAAAGGAACCUGUGUCAUCCUGGAACACUGUGAGUAUUUACAGGCUAAAGGAGGGGUGGGGGGAAGUUGGCUCCGCUCCAGGCCAAGAGCCAAAGGGCCUCUGGUGGAAUAUCUGAGCUGAGAGAGGGUGUGAAGCCACAGAGAGCGUGUCACUCCCAUGAGGAAAAUACACAGCAAGGAUGGGGGGGACUGGGAAUUUAUCCAAUGGGAUUGGGAGCACAUGGCCACCCACUGCCCCUCCUGGAAAUAGGAUUAGUGCUGAUGAUGCCAAAAAUGUGCCUGGCAGGGCACAGGAUGAGGGACCAGCCAUGGGGAACUGGGCAGGGGGACAGGGACAGGGCACGGAUGUGCUGCCCACGCUGUGGGAGCAGGAGGAGUGACAGAGGGUGAUGGGUUUUGGGGUGAUGGAGCUGAAAUCACCCCCCAGGAAUAAAUAAUCCCCCCUGACCCCCAAUGAAAGGGACUCCAUGGAUCUGUUCAAAACAGUUUAUUGUAUUUUUUCGUCAGACAAACACAUUGAUUUCUGGACCACAGUAGAGGAUGGAAACCUUUCACAAACUUAUUUAUUUGAAAAUACAAAUAUAAAAUUAUACUUUCCACAUCUGUGAUGUGAGAGACCCCCAUCCACAUAGUAUUUUACAACAGGGCUUCAGAAAGCCAUACACAGAGACCUGAAAGAUGCUUGAUAUAUAUAGAUACAUAUAUAUAUGUAUAUAUAUAAAAAAAAAGUCACUACCAAAGUUCUCAUCAGUUCAUACUAAAGUAUAAAAGGAAGGGCUAGGCCUGCCACUGUGCCAUAGUUUAUUUAGGUACAUUUAUGACCACCUGAAAUGCUCACUUGCAUCCUAGUACUGAUGGGAGUUCAGACCUCGUACGACAGAGAAUGACGGGGGGUUGCUACCUACGACGGUCACGCGACAGACGAGCCCAGGCGGGGUCUGGGGCCGACCCCGCUGCCCACCAGGCCCGCCCCGCUCGGACACCGAGCUCUCCACACAACACAGUCGGACUGCUGGGGGGCCGACAACCGACCACGAGGAUUUGCUUUCUCAAACUACUUUUUUUUUUUUUUUUUCUUUUUAAAAAUUAUUAUUAUUUUGUGGUUUUUUUUUUUUUUUUUUGGUAAUUUUAUUACAGUAUUAAAGUAUUGCUUAGCUUACAGAAUCUCCUCACGUAGUGUUCGCACGCGGCAGCGGGGUCGACUGGAUUCUGUACGUAGGAAACUCUACAGUGUCUGUGCGCAGACCGGGAUCUGCCGGUGUGUCUUCGAUGCAUCCUGUCUCUUCGCCCUAACACUAACCUCAGUUCUCCCUCUCUCUCUGAACUAUGUCGCUUUAAAAAAACAAACCAAACCACUAAAAAAAAGAAUUCAGAAGAUUCCACCCAAGAGACAUCGCUAUAGCAUAAAAGACAGCUAUGAGUUAGUGUUGUUUUUUUUUGUUUUUGUAAACAGUUUCAUAUGCAAUAUCAUACAGAACCAUGGCUGGCCUUCAGUAAAAAUGUAGUAAACUAUAUUGCUUUAUUAUUGAUUAUGUUGCAUUGAGUGAAUGGCAGAAACGAAACAGGAAGGGACGUGUGGCUGGAGUCGCUAGCCCUCAUUCACACUACGGAUGAAAGCAGCAUCCUAGGCUGCCCAGCAGGGAAGAAAAGAAAUCCCAACACCUUUCAGGUCGUAAUCACCCACAAUUACCCAAUGGUUUAACUAAGCCUAGCAAGAUGUGUGACAUUCACCAGCAGACACUGCUGUACAAUGGAAAAAAAUCAACUUACAGCAAAGAGAGCCAUGCUACCUUAAAGUCCAAGCUACAAAUUCAACUCAAAAUGAACAUUUAUGAAGUGUAAGAAAAAAUAAAAACCCCAAAGGACAGAUCAGGCUUCGCUUUAAUCAAGCCGAUCACAAAGGACUUGGGUUAUUCGAAGGGGGAGGGUCCCAAGCUCUUGUGGCUCCUCCAAAAUGUCCCUGGUGUUUGGGACAUGGCCCGUCCCACAGCACAGCCGGGCAGGAGUGGCCCUGCGGGCCCUUUGGAUGCCCAGGUCACCCAGCGUGGUGGAAAUCCCUCAUUUUGGCCACCCCGGGGGUAGCGGGUCCGUGUGAGAGAUCUGGAAAGCAAAGGGCACCGUCCCUCGGGGUGCCCGCACAGGCUGUGGGCUCUCCAUCCCUGGCAGUGCCCAAGGCCAGGCUGGACACUGGGGCUUGGAGCAGCCUGGGACAGUGGAAGGUGUCCCUGCCAUGGCAGGGGUGGAACUGGACGGUCCUUAGGGUCCCUUCCAACCCAAACCAUUCCAUGAUUCCACGAUCCUUCGCUCUCUGGGCUUGAGUAAAACAAAGGUGCAGCUGAACCUUUGUGCUGAAAAAUUUACAAAAAACCCCCAAACAAACGAAGAAAAAGAAAAAAAAAAAAAUCCUCCAAAAUGGAUUUCUAGAUGAGUGGGGGACUAACGUGAACCUUAGUCUAGGUAGCCACAUCAAAACAUCUUGGAUUCCACGACAUUUGUGCUAUGGGCCACUGGGACUUCUCAAAAGGUAUAUAAACAUCUAAAACAUAUUCACACAGAUUAGCAAUUUCUUCUGAGCAUUCUUAAAAAAAUAUGUUUUUUUUUUUCUCUUAGUAAAAUCGUUUUAAUAUACCGUGCCUCCCUCUUUUAAAAAAUAAAUUAAAAAAAUCCAGUUUUGCAUAUCUAGCAUUAGCAUUUAAGGUAGUAUGGCACAUCCCCUUUCCAAAGUCAAGGGUGGGGAUCUACAAAUGCCUUAAGAGUUUGCCAGCAUUUUUAACAUUGUGAGACCUUUGGUUAGUUGAAACCGCAUCAGAUCAGCAAAAGAAAAAUAAUAAACAAGAGAAAAAAAAGCACAGAAAGAAAAAAAGAGAAGAAAAAAACAAAAGAGGAAAACCUUCCCAAAAUUAUUAGCAUUUUUUUUUUCUUAAAUAAGAGAAAGUUCUAUCCUUACUGGUCCUAAAUCUGAAUAACUACAUCUAAAUUUUUAACCUUAAUUACGAUACACCUAACAAUAUGUACUAGAAGAGGAAGAGAGAAAGAGGGGGGGAAAAAUUCACUACACUACCAUCAGGACAGCACUCUUACAAGAUAAGCCAUUUUAUACACUAUUAACAUACAACAAUGAUCAACAAAGAAUAUUCUAUGAGGUGACAGGGAAUGGAGAGGAAAACCAACUGGUAGUACAGUACAUCAUCAACAUUGACAAAAUAGCAAUAAAAAAUUCCCUGACGGCACAUUGAAUCGCAGGGAAUUUGGUUUGUCUUUUUUUUUUUUUUUUUUUUACCUUUUUAUUUUUUAAAGAAUUCGGUUUUAUUUCUUUUAUUACUUGAUCAAGUCUCAAUAUUUAAAAAGCGUCCAGCAUUUUGCUUAAACCUGGUUGUUCUGAAAUAAGAAAAAAACCUAAAACAUUACAUAAAAAGCAUGAUUUUUUUUAAAAACAAGAAAAACAAGGUUUUCUCCUUUCGGUUAGCAGUAUGGUGCCUUGUUUUGUUAAAGAUGCCUUGCUCUACCUUGUCUAUUGAAUGUCUACAUUAGUCUACUUGUUAGUAAAAUUUACAAAAAUAGGAGUGCAGCAGCUCUUUUUAACAAAUGUCGCAUUCAGUGUCUUAUACUGGCUGUACCUAAAGUACCAAAUUUAUAAACGUAACAAUUUAAAAAAAUAUUAAUAAAACUUGUCAAUAUUACGUUAAAAAAAGAAGAAAUAUAUCCACACUACAGUAUGUUCUUAAUGCCACCUACCAUGUUGUACUUCUAGUUUGCUGUUGCAGGCCUAUUUACCAAUAUUAAAAAAAUUAAAUUAAAAAAUAUCCUUCAUAAGUUUCCUCCCCCAACAGAGGACCAUAUAUAUAACAGCCAAAUAUUAAACAUGUGCAAAUAGGAAACUGUCAGUUUUUCCCCUACCAGUCACAGUGCAAUGAUGUUUUAUACUUUAUUUCUUUUAAAUUCUGUUUACAACUACAAUAAAUUAAAAUCUUCCAUUGCUUCUAGGGUGAAACUUGUAGCACUGAGGUAUUCCCAAAAAAAAAAAAAAAAAAAAAAAAGAAAACAAAACCAACCAAAGUUGCUUUCUAAUUUGUUAAUACAGAAAGUGAUGGAUAAUAAAGGAAACCAUGCAAGCUGGACGCUGCUCUGCCCGCACGGGGUGCCCAGAGCAGCUGAAAUGACUGGACAGCAAGUUGAUCUAGUUUAAAACAAUGACCAAAAAAAAAAAAAAAAAAAAAAAAAACCCAAACAAAAAAAACCCGAAAUAAAGGUGUGCUUUGAACC